UGUUGCAUCACCCAAAAUAAGGAAGAAAAUGGAACGAUACAGAGAAGAUUAGCAUGGCCCCUGCGCAAGGAUGACACGCAAAAUCGUGAAGCGUUCCACAUUUUU
rnacentral:snRNA from 2 species